GGAAAGCACGUUGUCUUCAAAGACGAUUCUAUUCCUUGUCUUCCAAACCAUCUAAAAAAUGCGCAAGGGACCUGCUCUCUAAACUUUCUUACACUUUUUACCCCCAAAGAACCCAUUCCAACCCAAAAGUGUUGCCCUAACUAAAGAAGGAAAGCACCCAAGAUAGCCCAAAAAGAGUAAAGAACAUCUCUCAUAAAGCCCUUAUCUUUACACAAUGGAGAAGUAUGUGAUCUAUGGAUUCUAAAGAAGGAAAGCACCCAAGAUAGCCCAAAAAGAGUAAAGAACAUCUCUCAUAAAGCCCUUAUCUUUACACAAUGGAGAAGUAUGUGAUCUAUGGAUUCUUCAUCCAUUUGGAAAAGAUAACA
rnacentral:lncRNA from 1 species